rnacentral:rRNA from 1 species
UACGUAGGGUGCGAGCGUUAAUCGGAAUUACUGGGCGUAAAGCGUGCGCAGGCGGUUAUGUAAGACAGUUGUGAAAUCCCCGGGCUCAACCUGGGAAUUGCAUCUGUGACUGCAUAGCUAGAGUACGGUAGAGGGGGAUGGAAUUCCGCGUGUAGCAGUGAGAUGCGUAGAUAUGCGGAGGAACACCGAUGGCGAAGGCAAUCCCCUGGACCUGUACUGACGCUCAUGCACGAAAGCGUGGGGAGCAAACAGG